GCGACGCUGGCGGCGUGCUUACACAUGCAAGUCGAACGCUGAAGCNCNNUGCUUGCUCGGUGUGGAUGAGUGGCGAACGGGUGAGUAACACGUGAGUAACCUGCCCCUGACUUCGGGAUAAGCCUGGGAAACUGGGUCUAAUACCGGAUAUGACUACUGGCCGCAUGGUCUGGUGGUGGAAAGGGUUUUACUGGUUGGGGAUGGACUCGCGGCCUAUCAGUUUGUUGGUGGGGUAGUGGCCUACCAAGACGACGACGGGUAGCCGGCCUGAGAGGGCGACCGGCCACACUGGGACUGAGACACGGCCCAGACUCCUACGGGAGGCAGCAGUGGGGAAUAUUGCACAAUGGGGGGAACCCUGAUGCAGCGACGCCGCGUGCGGGAUGACGGCCUUCGGGUUGUAAACCGCUUUCAGUAGGGAAGAAGCGAAAGUGACGGUACCUGCAGAAGAAGUACCGGCUAACUACGUGCCAGCAGCCGCGGUAAUACGUAGGGUACAAGCGUUGUCCGGAAUUAUUGGGCGUAAAGAGCUCGUAGGUGGUUGGUCACGUCUGCUGUGGAAACGCAACGCUUAACGUUGCGCGUGCAGUGGGUACGGGCUGACUAGAGUGCAGUAGGGGAGUCUGGAAUUCCUGGUGUAGCGGUGAAAUGCGCANAUAUCAGGAGGAACACCGGUGGCGAAGGCGGGACUCUGGGCUGUAACUGACNCUGANGAGCGAAAGCAUGGGGAGCGAACAGGAUUANAUACCCUGGUAGUCCAUGCCCUAAACGUUGGGAACUAGGUGUGGGNCCNUUCCNCGGAUUCCGUGCCGUAACUANCNCAUUAANUNCCCNCCUGGGGANUACGNCCCCANGCUAAACUCAAAGAAUUGACNGGGGCCCCCCAAA
rnacentral:rRNA from 1 species